GACGAACGCUGGCGGCGUGCUUAACACAUGCAAGUCGAACGGAAAGGCCCUGCUUUUGUGGGGUGCUCGAGUGGCGAAAGGGUGAGUAACACGUGAGUAACCUGCCCUUGACUUUGGGAUAACUUCAGGAAACUGGGGCUAAUAACGGAUAGGAGCUCCUGCUGCAUGGUGGGGGUUGGAAAGUUUCGGCGGUUGGGGAUGGACUCGCGGCUUAUCAGCUUGUUGGUGGGGUAGUGGCUUACCAAGGCUUUGACGGGUAGCCGGCCUGAGAGGGUGACCGGCCACAUUGGGACUGAGAUACGGCCCAGACUCCUACGGGAGGCAGCAGUGGGGAAUAUUGCACAAUGGGCGGAAGCCUGAUGCAGCAACGCCGCGUGCGGGAUGACGGCCUUCGGGUUGUAAACCGCUUUCGCCUGUGACGAAGCGUGAGUGACGGUAAUGGGUAAAGAAGCACCGGCUAACUACGUG
rnacentral:rRNA from 1 species